rnacentral:lncRNA from 1 species
CCCUCUCUUGCCUGCCACCAUGUAAGAAGUCCCUUUGGUCUUCCUUUGUCUUCUGCCGUGAUUGUGAGGCCUCCCCAGCCAUGUGGAACUGUGAGUCCAUUAAUCUCUUGCCUUUAUAAAUUACCCAGUCUCAGAUAUGUCUUUAAUAGCAGUGUGAGAACAGACUAAUACGAAGCCCUAGUGGAAACAAUAGACAACAUGAAGGCACAGGUGGGUAAUGUAAGCACAGAGAUGAAAACCCUAAGAAAGAAUCAAAAGGAAAUGCUAGAAAUAAAAAAACAUUGUGACAGAAAUGAAGAAAUGAAGAAUGUAUUUAAAGGCUCAUCAGCAGGUUGGAAAUGUCUGGGGAAAGAAUUAAUGAGCUUGGUGAUAGGUCAACAGAAACUUUCCAAACUGGAAGGCAAAGAGAAAAAAAGAAUGGGAAAAAUAACGAAAUAUCCAAGAAGUGUAUAAUCAUUACAAAAGGUGUAACAUAUACAUAAUGGGAAUACUAAAAGGAAAAGAAAGAGAAAGAAGAACAGAAGAAAUAUUUGAAGUAAUAAUAGCUCAGAAUUUUCUGAAAUUAUUGAAACACAUCAAAACACAGAUCCAGGAAGGUUAGACAACACCAAGCAAGACAAAUCCAAAAAAUCGACAUCUAGGCAUUUCACAUUCAAACUGCAGAAAAUCAAAAGCUAAGAGAAAAUCUUGAAAGAAAUGAGAGAGUUGGGGGAAGCAUUACCUAUAAAGCAACAAGGAUAAGAAUUACAUCAGACUUCUCAUCGGGGACCAUGCAAGCAAGAAGAGAAUAAAGUGAAAUAUUGAAAGUGUUGAAAGAAAAAUAAAGAAAAACACAAGCUUAAAAUUCUUCAUCCAGUGAAGUUAUCCUUCUAAAGUGAAGAAGGAAAAAAAGACUUUCUCAGACAAAAACUGAGUAUAAAAUAAUAAGAUGGCUGAUCCUGCAAAGAGGCGCGGUGACAUCAACAGUGACUCAGUCUCUAUGAUGGUAUUAGUAACUGGCAGCUGACUCUCCUAUUUAUCAUCAAGUUAUGUUCCAAAUAAGACUUUCAAGUCUGAGAAAAAUGACAAAUCCCUUCCAGGCAUGGUUCAAGUUAAAGCUGAAACUGUGUCUUCGUUUCAGCUCAAGAGAGGUUUUGAUUGUGUCGUGGCUUUUCCUUGUGUAUUGGUUGAGGAACUGUGCCUUGGAGGGGCGGGGAGUCUUGAGAAUGGGUCAACUGAUGGAGGGGGAGUGGAAGACAUUGGUUGCCCAAGAAAAUAUGUCAACAUCUGUCCAUCACUGCAACUCCGGCCUGAUUAUCAUUUUUUCUGCUUCUGUAAGCACCAAUGAGACAAUGCCACUGAACCACAUUCUUUGUUGCCUGCAGUAUUUCCCACCACUGCGCCACCUCUGAUAUGCUAAUGAGGAAGCCCAGGGUUUUGUGUGGCUGAAAAGCCUUUCAGGCACAAUCAGUGGGUCAACAAUCUCAACUCUGUACAGCGGCUCAGCCUGCUCUGUGAGAGGCUCCUCUUUCGGAGGGGUCCUUCCUCACACCUUUUCUGUGAGUGCGUCUGUGCUUAAGGAAGGGCAAUUAACCAUCUGGCUGCUUGUCCCCUGGAGAAAUUGACAGAACAUCAAACAGAAUAAACUCAUACCUUGAAAACUGCCAAGUGGCACAUGACUGUCCGGUUCACUGUGGGGAGAAGCCACUAACCAAUGGUCUGAAUCUAAAAAUGACCCAGUGGCACCGGUUUGUAGUAAAACUUUGAAGAUAGAACUCCAUGCAAAUUCUGACUCCAUAGUGCUGGUUCUUGAUGUAAAUCUCCCAAUGUAACUGUCAAGGUUUAAAAAUAUCUUACGUAGGUGUUCAGAAUCAUAAGGUCAUAGAAUUAUAAAAUGUUAACCGGCAGAAGUAUUUUCAUCUUUGUCAUACGAAAAAGAGUAAUUUGCUCAUAAUAAGCCUUCAAUAUUUAUGUAUUGGAUUGCAAUUAACAGGAAUCAAAGGAAUCUUAUAAGGAUCAUUUAUCUAGAAUAAUCUCUAUUUUCUAGAAUUACUUAAUGAUCAUUGUCUUUAUUCAGCCUAAGUAACAUUGAAAUUUUUCUUCAUUCAAAUAAAUUCAUACUCAUGAAGCCUUUCCCCACUUUUCAUUUCAUAUUCUGUUUCUACUAGUAUUGUUAACCAUUGCAAAGAAAUACUGUUGCCCUCCAUUAAAACCUGAACUGCCUGCUGUCUAUGGUUUAUUUAUCUAACAAAGAUUUAUUGUGGCGCCAGACAUUGUAAUAGGCCAUAAAGACACAAAAAAGAAAAAUAGAUAGUUUCUGACCUCAGGAAAAACUUAGUCACAUGAGGGAGACAGUAUAUAAUACAACGUGGUUAGUACCUGAUGAAACAGUGCACAUGGUGCCAUGGGAACACAAAAGCCAGCCACAGGGAAGUCAAGGAAGGCUUCCUGGAGGACAGUGAACCGAAUCUUAAACUGAAUAAUAUGUAGUGAGGAAAAGCGAGGGUAAAUGGAAUUUUAUGAAAUUUGUCAGAAGAGGUUAACCAUUGUAACAAACAGCCCUGGAAUUUCAGGGGCAAACACAACCAAGAUUUAUUUCUUGCCUAUGUCACAGUCUAAUGAGGUUGUCAGGGGAUGUCACAAAGUGUGGUACUGUGUUCUAUGAAGUCUUUCAGAGACCUGGUUCCUUCCAUUAGCAACUCCCCCAUCUUCUAAGACUGCACUGGAUUCUUGGUUUCCUCUUCCCCAGAUAGUUUGGCACCAGGAGUGUCCUCAGUAAGAUAGAUCUGCUUCCUGCUCUCAUGGAACUACUCUAAUGAAGAAACACACAAAUCAAUACAUAAGAAAAAUAGGCCUUACUUAGAUGGGAUGGUCAGGGAAAGCCUCUUUGGAAAGAUGACAUUUGAGCUGAUAUGUAAAUGACAAGAAGGAGCUAUCCACAAGAAUGUGGAGGAGGAGGGACAUUCCAGGCACAGAGUUAAGUUAGAGUCAAGGUCCUUAGUUAAGAAUAAGCUAGGUAAGCGUCAGGAUAGAAAAAUGUCCAGUGUAGCUGAGGAUAGUGGGCCAAUGGGUGAAUGGACAGAUGAGGUCUCAGAGGUCAGCAGAAGUUAGCUCAUGAAGGACAUUAUAAACUAGAUUAAGAAGGAUGGAUUUUUAAUCUAAGUGCAAUGAAAAGUUAUUAGAGAGAUUUGAGCCCAGAACUAAUGUGAUUUAUAUUUUUACAAAACAAUUCAUGUGGAAGCAGAGAAAACUAGUUAGGAGGCUUUUGUACAAGCCCCAGUUGACAAAGGGUGGUGAUACCAGUGGAGAUGGGGAAAAAUUGAAAGGUUUGAGAGGUGCUUUGAAAAUAGAAUUCACGGGACUUGCUGUUCCAGAAGUAUUGGGUGUGGAAGGUGAGGGAAGCUAUAAGACAGUAAUCAAGAACAAUUACUUGAGCACUAAGUGGGUGGUAAAACCAUUUACUGAGAUAUGUGUAUUUCUAGGGGAGCUAUAUGAGAUACAUGAGACUGGAAAAAACCUGAUUGGCAAAAGAGAGAAUACUCUUGGGUCAUGUUGAGUUCGAGAUGCUUAUUAAGCUUCCACAUAGUGAUAUCUAGUUGGCUGUUGGAUACAGGAAUCUAGAAUCCUGGGCGUGAAUAUUUUAAAGAUAUUGGACAUGAUGAGUUUGCCCAGUUAGAGUGUGGACAAAAGAUACGAGACCCAGGAUAGACCCCUGAGGCGCUCAACAUUUAGAGGUGCAGGCAGAGGCAAAAGACCCACCAAAGGAGCAUGAAAAGGAAUUGUGAGGUAGGAGGAAGCCACCAGGGUGCUGGUGAGGAGACAAGGGAAAUGGGUAAAGUUCUAGGCAACAGAGAAAGGGGAUAUUUCAAUUUUAUUUCUUUAACUUCUGCAUCCUCCAAACCCAGUAAGCCAUUUUAAAUAUGAUUUCCAAUGAGAAUACAUCUGGUCAAAUUAAUAUACUCACGAACAGCGUCCCCACAAUGAACUUUUGGCCCAAGAUUCAUUUGUCAAGGAGAUGCGGAAUCAGUGGAAUGGCCAAUAGAACGUGGACUCUGAAGCAACCUUCCCAAAAAUACAGUCAUUUUUGAGAUGGAGACAUCGAAGCCAAGGAAAUUCAUUUCCAGCUUCACGUCUGAAGGUUUGAGUUCACAUUUCAGCACUAACAAUUGUGUAUCUCUAGGGGAACUAUAUGAGGUUUCUGAGCCUCAGUUUCAUUUUCUAUAUAAUGGGUGUAAUAACCACUGUGUAUUUGUGAUUACUCUCAUCCCUCUGAGUAGAUACAAUCUUUCUGUACAAUAAUAAGACUUCACGCUUUCCUAUCUUAGAAACCCCUUUAAAACUCCUCCCCAGACCUUCCCCUAGGUACUACUUGCUGCAUUAGGUGCUGCUCUGUGUCUAAGAACUGCUGACUUUGUUUGUCUGCAGUUACUCAUUAUAAUGUCAUUACCUACCAAGGAAGGAGUAUUGUUGCCUGGGCUGCUAGCCUCUGCUUCAUUUGGUCAUGCUUGAACUCUCUUCUUAGCUCACAUCUCCUUUCUAGUCACAAGGAUGUAAAAUUGUCUUCAGUUUCCUCCCACCCAUUCUUAUUUUAUAAAUU